rnacentral:tRNA from 1 species
UAGCUCAGUCAGUAAAGAACCUGCCUGCAAUGCAGGAGACGUGGGUUCAAUUCCUGC